rnacentral:rRNA from 1 species
UACGUAGGGGGCAAGCGUUGUUCGGAUUCAUUGGGCGUAAAGGGCAUGUAGGCGGUUAGAUAAGUGUGGAUUUAAAGACCGAGGCUUAACCUCGAGUAUGGUCUGCAAACUGUCUGGCUAGAGUGCGGAAUGGGAAACUGGAAUUCCACGUGUAGGGGUGAAAUCUGUAGAGAUGUGGAAGAAUACCUGUGGCGAAAGCGAGUUUCUGAUCUGCAACUGACGCUGAGAUGCGAAAGUGUGGGGAGCGAAC